AAGUCGUAACAAGGUUUCCGUAGGUGAACCUGCGGAAGGAUCAUUAACAAAUUCCAAAACUCGUGUUUUCAUUGUGUUUUGAUUAUCAUUUCAUCUUCGGAAGGCGUGAUAAGAUUAACCUUUGAAAGUUUAACACAAAACUCACAUUUAAAUUUGACAACCAAUGGAGAACCAAUUAAUAUAUUAAUUGUUUAAACAACUUUUAACAAUGGAUCUCUUGGCUCUU
rnacentral:misc_RNA from 1 species